rnacentral:tRNA from 1 species
GGAGGGGUGGCAGAGCCUGGUUGAAUGCACUGGUCUUGAAAACCAGCAGGCCCUCGCGGGUCUCGGGGGUUCGAAUCCCUCCCCCUCCG